rnacentral:rRNA from 1 species
UACGUAGGGUGCAAGCGUUGUCCGGAAUCACUGGGCGUAAAGAGUUCGUAGGCGGCCUAUCAAGUCAGGUGUGAAAGGCAUUGGCUCAACCAAUGUAAGCACUUGAAACUGUUGGGCUUGAGUGUUGGAGAGGAGAGUGGAAUUCCUAGUGUAGCGGUGAAAUGCGUAGAUAUUAGGAGGAACACCAGUGGCGAAGGCGACUCUCUGGACAAUUACUGACGCUGAGGAACGAAAGCGUGGGGAGCAAACAGGAUUAGAUACCCUGGUAGUCCACGCCGUAAACGAUGAGUGCUAGGUGUCGGGGGCGACAGUCUUCGGUGCCGCAGCUAACGCAUUAAGCACUCCGCCUGGGGAGUACGGUCGCAAGACUGAA